UACAGAGGGGGCAAGCGUUGUUCGGAAUUACUGGGCGUAAAGGGCGCGUAGGCGGCCCGCUAAGUCGAACGUGAAAUCCCCAGGCUCAACCUGGGAACUGCGUCCGAUACUGGCAGGCUUGAAUCCGGGAGAGGGAUGUGGAAUUCCAGGUGUAGCGGUGAAAUGCGUAGAUAUCUGGAGGAACACCGGUGGCGAAGGCGGCAUCCUGGACCGGCAUUGACGCUGAGGCGCGAAAGCUAGGGGAGCGAACGGG
rnacentral:rRNA from 1 species